UACGUAGGGUGCAAGCGUUUGUCCGGAAUUAUUGGGCGUAAAGAGCUCGUAGGCGGCCUGUCGCGUCGGCUGUGAAAACCCGGAGCUCAACUCCGGGCCUGCAGUCGAUACGGGCAGACUGGAGUUCGGCAGGGGAGACUGGAAUUCCUGGUGUAGCGGUGAAAUGCGCAGAUAUCAGGAGGAACACCGGUGGCGAAGGCGGGUCUCUGGGCCUUACCUGACGCUGAGGAGCGAAAGCGUGGGGAGCGAACAGG
rnacentral:rRNA from 1 species